GUUUAUGGUCAUACCACUACGAACGUGCCCGAUCUCUUCUGAUCGCGGAAGCUAAGCAGGGUCGGACCUGGUUAGUACUUGGAUGGGACACCACCUAGUAAUACCAAGUGCUGUAGGCG
rnacentral:rRNA from 1 species